CGGAUAGCAUGCUGUUAGAUGCUAAAAUUAAACAAACAGAUAUUUGCAAUGUAAGAUUUCAGCACAAUGCAUAAACGAUUUACAGUCAGGUAAGAAGACAUGCAUCCAUAAAACUCUCUGAUUCUACGAGUCUAUAACCUUCAGAGAAUCAAAGGCCAUUAAACAAACAGAUAUUUGCAAUGUAAGAUUUCAGCACAAUGCAUAAACGAUAUUACAGUCAGGUAAGAAGACAUGCAUCCAUAAAACUCUCUGAUUCUACGAGUCUAUAACCUUCAGAGAAUCAAAGGCCAAGAUACCACAUUGUCUAGGAUUCUGUUUGAUCGGUGAGAAAUAUAAUAUUUACAAGCGUAAAGGGAAACCACAUAUUACG
rnacentral:lncRNA from 1 species